AGAUGCGUGUAAACUCAAACAAAACCAACACGCGAGUAUCAAUGACUUCCUAAGUACUGUUUGGCUGGCACGCUCUUGAAAAUUAAAUUGAAAAUUAAAAAAAAACAGAAAGAAAGCGAAUAUAGAGAGUCUGUCUCACUCGGCAAAAUCCCUUUGAACAAAACACUGUUGCUGCUUAUAUACACUUUAAAUAUAUAAAUAAAAAUAAAAACACACUGCUUCUUCCCUUUUUCUACUCUGUACGAGCCAAACACGCCCUUUGUCUUAUUUGGGUUUUCCGCAAACAGGUUUUAGCUCAACUCAUGGCUAUGGCGUUUACAUGUUACGGCAGCAUUGGAUUUCCUCCCAACAGGGAUUUGGAGGCAUUCAGCAACUACACAUGAGUAAUUUGACUCUUUAGUAAAAGAUGUAGAAUCGACAAAAUUGACGUAGGGGAAUGAAGCCAUUGGUCCGCGAAGCAGAUGAACUAUUGUAAUAUAUCGACACUUCCUAUUAUGGGAAAUGCAUAUAUUAAAAAAAAAAAAAAAACAAAUCUUGAUUUUUGAAGUAUUUUAAUUGGCAAAAUCGACAUGUCCGAUAUUUUUCUAACUUACAUGCUUUUUCAUAUUUAUUAUCAAAUGCUGAUUGAUUAGCUUGAACACAUAUUAUUAUUAUGAGUGUGUGUUUAAAUUUAUAAUAGAGGCCAUUUGAAAGUGUGUAAUAAAUCUGGUACAGGUAAUUGUUCAGUUAUAGUUACUGAGGUUAAAAGGCAGCUUAUUUUGUACAAGUGGUAAUUAACUGUUUGACAGGUAAAUAUUUUUUUACAAGGCUGAC